GGAGUCGGCCAGGCAGCCGCUAUGGCGACAUAGAGGAAAGUCCGGGCUCCGCAGAGCGGGAUGCAGGGUAACGCCCUGGCGCGGCGACGCGACGAAGAGGGCCACAGAGACGAGUCCCCGAUCCACGCAGCACCGCAGGUGCAAGCCUGCGGGGAUCGGGGGGUGAAACGCGGCAACCUCCAUCCGGAGCAACACCAAAUAGGCAAGCGAAGUGUGGCGACACACUACAGGCCGGCUCGGCCGAGGCUUGCGGGUAGGUGGCUUGAGCCCCGGGGCGACCUUGGGCCUAGAGGAAUGGCUGCCGGUCCCGCUCGGGUUCGCCCGGCCGGGGCCACAGAACCCGGCUUACCGGCCGUCUCCCACU
rnacentral:RNase_P_RNA from 1 species